AGUGAACGCCGGCGGUAGGCCUAACACAUGCAAGUCGAACGGCAGCACAGUAGGAGCUUGCUCUUACGGGUGGCGAGUGGCGGACGGGUGAGGAAUACAUCGGAAUCUACUUUUUCGUGGGGGAUAACGUAGGGAAACUUACGCUAAUACCGCAUACGACCUACGGGUGAAAGCAGGGGAUCUUCGGACCUUGCGCGAUUGAAUGAGCCGAUGUCGGAUUAGCUAGUUGGCGGGGUAAAGGCCCACCAAGGCGACGAUCCGUAGCUGGUCUGAGAGGAUGAUCAGCCACACUGGAACUGAGACACGGUCCAGACUCCUACGGGAGGCAGCAGUGGGGAAUAUUGGACAAUGGGCGCAAGCCUGAUCCAGCCAUACCGCGUGGGUGAAGAAGGCCUUCGGGUUGUAAAGCCCUUUUGUUGGGAAAGAAAAGCAGCAGGUUAAUACCCCGCUGUUCUGACGGUACCCAAAGAAUAAGCACCGGCUAACUUCGUG
rnacentral:rRNA from 1 species